AUGGAAACCAGGGUUAGAUACCCUAUUAUACUUUAUUUUAAAAUUAUCAUUACCUGGGUAAUAAACAGUUAUAAUCUUGAAACUCAAAGGAUUUGGCGGUAGCUUAGUCUGCUUAGAGGAACCUGUCCUGUAAACGACAAACCACGAAUUAUCUUACCUUGUUUUGUAAAUAUAACAGUUUGUAUACCGUCAUUAUCAGAUAACUUUAUUAAAAUAUUAGUUGUUGUAAUAAGAAAUUCUUAAAAUAUUAGAUCAAGGUGCAGCUAAUAAUAAGGUAGAGAUGGGUUACAAUAAAUAAAAUUAUUAUGGAUAAAAAGUUUAAAUUCUUUUUUAAAGGAGGAUUUAAAUGUAAAAGUAUUUUAAUAAGUUACUUUGACUUUAGCUCUAAGUUAUGUACAUAUCGCCCGUAGCUA
rnacentral:rRNA from 1 species